rnacentral:rRNA from 1 species
UACGAAGGGGGCUAGCGUUGUUCGGAAUUACUGGGCGUAAAGGGCGCGCAGGCGGCCGCUCAAGUCAGAUGUGAAAGCCCCGGGCUCAACCUGGGAACUGCAUUUGAUACUGAGUGGCUAGAGUUCGGGAGAGGAGAGUGGAAUUCCCAGUGUAGUGGUGAAAUUCGUAGAUAUUGGGAAGAACACCGGUGGCGAAGGCGGCUCUCUGGACCGAUACUGACGCUGAGGCGCGAAAGCGUGGGGAGCAAACAGG